rnacentral:lncRNA from 1 species
AAGGAACGAAUCUCUCCAGUCCUUAUGUAUUGCGUGUAAGAAAUUGCAUUCUGUGCAUGUUCAAUGAUUGCCAAUUAAAUAAAUAUUUUGCAAAACAGCGAAAUGUUUAUCCUGCUUUAUCGUGUUAUUAUAUUAUUUUUUUACAAAAAGUUUCAUGUAUGUACAUAUUAGAAAUGUAUGAAUCGAGGUUUUUUUGGGGCCGAAUUUAAUUGAAUCGAAUUAUUAAACCACAACUUUUGAUUAAACUUAACCUAAUUUGAACAAUAAUUAUUGUUAUUAAACUAAUAUACUAAUUAUUGUUCAAUUUUAAAACAAAGCUAAUCAAAUUACUAUGUAAAGUAAUAUUAAUUAAUAUGAAAUAAUCUUAUAUAAUAUAAAAUUAUUUGAUUCGUAAUCGAAUAGUUUGCACAUUUCUAAUAUGCUAACAUAUGUCAUAUUUUUUACUUUUUAAUAUAUUUCUGCAAUAAUAGAUUUUUAAAAUAAUAUUAAUUUGCAACAUUAUUUUAUUUGGCUCUUUUUUUUCGGUUAUAAUUUCAAUUUUCUUCCACAAUAUUUAAGAGUUUUUAAGCAAAUUAGGGAAAAAUAUAAUAAUAAUUGCGAGUACCAUGUAUUAAAAUUUUCAAAUCAAUUAAUCAUUUGUAGUAUCGUGACAUAAUUGAAACAAAUUUGUACGUAAAAUGGUAUUCCGCUAUUGUACCUGCUGUAAUUUUCAUUAUUUUUGCUCUAAUUAUAUUUUUGUACUAUGAAAAUUGUAUAUGAAAAUAUCAAUAUUUUGUAAUGCGAUUAAUGACAGAUAUUUUUUUUAGUACAUUUAUGUAUAUUUUUUUAAUUUGUAACGAAAAAACAGUUUUAGUAUGACAAGCUUUCUGAAAUAUUAAUGAUUCUUCUUGUUUCAGUUAUUCCAAGGUAAUACAAGAUUUCACUCUUCAAUAUACAUAAAUAUACUUGUAAAUAUACUUGUAUACUAAUAUUUUAAUAUUUGUGUCUAAUCUAGGUAAAUGAAUUACCACCUCUGAGCUAAGAAGUAAAAAAGAUUAUUCUUCCCUUGUUUGGUUUCCUCCGGUUUCACUGGUAAAUGCUCCAUUGCCCCGUCGUAAUCGCAAAUCAAGAUUUACCCACAUGUUCCCCUGUCCCAACAAUUGCGGGAGUGUCUAUCCACGUCGCCGUUCCCUGAUGAGACAUUUGCGUCGCAGCCUGUGCCAGCCUCCGUGUUUCUACACUGAGAAAAAUAAUAAUUGAUUCAACAAAACGGACUGUCAACAAAAGAUAUACUUAAUACAAUAAUAUUUGCUGUUAUUGCAAGUGCAAUAACGUUGAUUGGAUUAUGUAUUUAUAUUGCAAUGCCAUAUAUUGUUGUAUUGAAUUAUUGAAUUUUUCAAAACAGCGAAAUGUUCAUCAUGCUUCAUCGUCCUGUUACAUUAUUCUUUUGCAAAUAAAUUUUUAUGUUAUGUACAUAUUAGAUGUGUGUGAAUCAAAUUUUUUAGGGAAUUAAAUUUAAUUGAAUUGAAUUAUUAAACCACAACUUUGGAUUAAACUUGUCCUAAUUUGAACAAUUAUUGUUAUUCAACUAAAAUACUAAUUAUUGUUUAAUUUUGAAACAAAGGUAAUGAACAAAUUAUGUAAAGUAAUAUAUAUAUUAAUUAAUAUGAAGUAAUUUUAUAUAAUAUAAAAUUUGAUUCGUAUUUGAAUAGUUUGCACAUUUCUAAUAUCCUAAUGUAUAUUAUAUUUUUUAUCUUUUAAUAUUUUUCUGCAAUAAUAGAUUUUUAAAAUUAAUAUUAAUUUGCAAUAUUAUUUUAAUCGGAUCUUUUUUUUUAUUAUAAUUUUAAUUUUCUUUUACAAUAUUUAAGAGCUUUUAAGCAAGUUAUGGAAAAUCUAAUGAUAAUUACGACUACUGUGUAUAAAAGUUUUCAAAUUAGUUAAUUUUGCGUAAUGUCGUCUUGAGGUAAUUCAAACGAAUUUGUACGUAAAAUGAUAUUCCGCUAUUGUAUCUGCUUUAAUUUUCGUUAUUUUUUACUCUAAUUAUAUAUUUGAACUAUGAAAAUAUCAAUAUUUUGUAAUGUGAUUAACGAUAGAUUUUUUUGUACACUUUAUACAUUUUCUUAAUUUGUAACGAGAAAUCACAGUUCUGAUAUGACAAAUUUUUCGAAGUAUUACUGAAAUUAAUAAUUCUUGUUUCAGUUAUUCGAAGGUAAUGCGAGAUUUCACUAUUCAAUAUACAUAAAUAUAUUUGUAGAUAUACUUGUAUACUAAUAUUUUAAUAUUUGUGUCCAAUCUAGGUAAAUGAAUUACCACUUCUGAGCUAAGAAGUAAAAAAGGUUUUUUUCUGAGUUCUAAUUUUUUUAUUAUUUUAUGUAUUUUAUAUAUUAUUAUAUUUUUUGCAUAAUGUGUUAUUAAAUGCGUUAUCGUAUCUAUGUAACAGUGAAACUAGUGUAACACAGUUAAAUUGUAAAAAAUUUGCAUAGAAUUUACAUUUUUGUUUUGUUUGCAUGUCAGGUUUGUUUAAAAUUGAACGAAUAAUGAUAUAUCGUUGAAAA